UAAAAAAAGGAGAUACGGUGGAUGGGCCUUUCAAAUUACAGAUAUGAAAAGCUAAAGAAGUUGGAGGAAGUUCGCAAAGAACUCGUCAACAAGAUUAGGCACAAGAAGGCACUCCUCCAGGAAAUCG